CCUUCAUUCUCACUUCUCUCUCAUUCUCGUCUAAUCCUUCCUUUCUCAAAACCCUAGCUGCACAACCUUACACUUCUCACUUCUCUCCAUUUUCUCUCUUCUCCCUCUCUCCAUUCAACUCGUCUCUCACAUCCGUUUCUUCCAUCUUCAUAGCCCUGUUCGGAUCAGUAAAGUCCAAUUUCAUUUUUAUUUCAUGAUUUCUCACAUUCAUUGGUCGCAAACGAAAAGUUCCAACACAUUCUUCUUGUGUUGAACACCAACGUUGAUGGAAAGCAGAAGACCAUGUUUGCUCUUACCUCAACCAAAGGUAUUGGGAAAAGAUUCGCUAACAUUUGUUGCAAGAAAGCUAAUGUCAACAUGAACAAGAGGGGUUUUGAUUUCAGAAGAAAGAAGCAAGUAAACAUGUUUCUUUUUGGUGGAUUCAUAGAAGAGAAAGAACGGUGGAUUCAUAGCUACCAUGUUUCUUUUUGGCCUACUAUUUAUGUUACAUCUAAAGGAAAUUUUCAGAUUGGAAGUAGAAGAUGUUGUAAGAAAAAGUAUGAAGGGAGAUUGCCAAAGAGCCUCCACUAAUAUCCAAGGUUUUUUUCCCUUAUCGGUUUCUUCUUCAACGUUUCAUUUCCUGUAUUGCUAUAUCAUUUGACAAUAUAUGUGUUUAUGUGAAAUAUACUUUUGAAUUGACUUUUCUUCACGAACAAAUUCAUGUUUUGGCAAGAUCGUGAAUGUGCUUAUUUUGAUUCUGCUUAUUGAGCUUUGGGGAAGGUAUUUUUUGGUUUUAGAAGCAUGCAUCUCUUUAUCAUUAUGCUAUCAAUACUAUUAUUAUAUCUUAAUUUGACAUCCUGUUUAUGUUGCUUUUGCUAGAUAUGGCUGGAAUGAUACAUACAUUAAAAGUGACAAAACUACUUUAUUAAAAAACCUUUAUGUUAUCUAAAACAAUAUAUACUUCUUCCUGCUAUUAGACCAAUUUUCUUUAACUUCACUUUAUUUCAAAGCGAUUUUCGAGCUGUUCACUGCUACAAUUUCGAAACAAUUUUCGUCAUCUGUCGGAUAAGUGGGCUCACGCGAUAGACAAGGUCAACAUCACAGUGUAAUUGGCAAAUUUCAAAAAUGCUAAAGCUUAUGUUGUUACCCCAGAAGGUGAUUUUACCUUCUUUGAGGGGAAAAAAUGAAGGAGAUUAUGGUUUCGAUGGUGUUCUUCUUGCGUCAUGAGCCGGUGGCAUUCGAAUCACAGGUUAUGGUUAUCGGCGUUUUCUUAACUGUCAUUUUCAACAUACUAUUUGGCAUUAGUACGAGUUUUUGGAUGGUGGUUAUCACAACAUUUCUUCUCGGAUGUUUGAAUGGUGCAAUUUGACAAACUAAGAUACUACAAGUUUUGAUUUUUCAUCUCCUGCACCUGGUAUUUGUCGAAACUCCUCUAUUUAUUAUGCUCUGAUUUUAAAACAAAACAAAAAAGGUUUUCCUCAAGAAAUAAUUGUGAAUAUUAUGAAGCCCCUACUUGAUAUAACAAUUAUGAUUGUUAUUUAAAUCUGUACAAUUGCACCUUUGUCACAUGAUUUGAAAUCAUAUAGUUCUGUUUGACAUAGCAAUAAUAGUAUUUGUAAAGCAUCAAAAGAUAGAUUUCUAUAAUGUUACAAGAGAUGGUGUACCUGUAGAGAAGUUCUAAAACUUCCACAUAAUAUUGUUGUUAGAUUGACAAUCUGUAAAAGCCUCUUUUGUU